rnacentral:rRNA from 1 species
ACGUCUACAUUAGAUACCCCGGUAGUCCUAGCCGUAAACGAUACUCGCUAGGUGUCGGCCACGGUGCGACCGUUGUCGGUGCCGUAGGGAAGCCGUGAAGCGAGCCACCUGGGAAGUACGGCCGCAAGGCUGAAACUUAAAGGAAUUGGCGGGGAGCACCACAACGGGUGGAGCUUGCGGUUUAAUUGGAUUCAACGCCGGAAAUCUUACCGGGACCGACAGCAACAUGAAGGCAGGCUGAAGACUUUGCCGGAUUAGCUG